GGAAAAUGAAGUCACGUGACAGGAACAGCUACAGGAAUAACUUGCUUUUAACUCUUCUGUUGCAGGGAUCUUUCCUGUUAGCACUUCAGAUCCUGACUCAUCUGGAAUAUCCCUUUACUGAAGCUGCUGGACGGAUCGCCCCCAAAUUUUCACAGGACAUCCCUCCCUGUUGCGGGAUUGUUAAAAUUAUGACUGUACAGCCAUGUGAGAUGAAAUGAGAAUAUGGUGGAAGGCACACAACAUUUAUGACACAUUUUCCUCUCAGCUCCGCGCUUACGGCACUCUGC